AGCCUUGCGCUCGGGCAAUACAGAGAGCAAUUAGGCUUAGCCAAGCUGCUGUUAUUGCUGAUUGAAAACUUUUACCAAUUACCCGCCUUGGCCUGCGAAAGCGGUACGGUUUUUGCUCAUUAUGGUAGCAA
rnacentral:snRNA from 1 species